UUUUACCUCGUUAUAGAAGCUUAUUUCACGCCUACAUACUCUAUGUAUCCUUAUCUAUUAGGCCGCUGGGUUCAAGAAUUCCAUAUGCGAUGCUGACUGACGUUAAUCAGGAAAAUAAACUCCAAAGCAACGUUGAACUUGUACCUUUGUGUAGACUCGUUUCAUCAAUUUCUCAGCGAGUCGUAUGCGCUGUAGCGCCCUCCGUGCUCUGCGUCCGUGCAGCGUGAACGCGCAGUGCGCACGCGCGAUUUGCUUAGUAACUGCGCCCUCAGACGCAUGCGCACUAACUUUUUUAGUCCGCUGCGUGAAUAAUUGACAAGAAAAGUUUCAACCAGACUGAGUCGCAUUGAUCUCCUUACGGUAUGGACGACGUAAUCGAUGUUGUUCUGAAGACAUGGCGUAUCUUACUCUUUGAAAUUAGAACAGAUGCGAGCGAUCGAGUCUGUGGUGAAGAAAUCCAAAAACGUUUUUGGAUUGCUACCGACAGGUUUUGGCAAAAACGAUUGUUAUGGAUGGCUCUCACCAAUAAUGGACAAAAUCAAACCAGGGGUAAAGCACAUCACAUUGGUGAUAUCCCCCCUUCGUUCACUAAUGAUGGACCAAGUGAGCAGGUGGUCUGCCGUGGGAGUCAAAUGUGCGGCCAUUUUGCAGGCUAAAGAAAUGGACAAUGCUACUAGAUGGUAAGUUUGGUGUCGUAAUUUGAAUUAUUACUUUAAAGGGAUUAUGUAACUUGGCUGGAUCAAUACUGUGACGGCCUGCAGUCGUCCCUGUUUAUGAUGUCAUUAUUUAUAAAUAGUCUUGGCAUCAAGCGCCAUGGAGAGUUCCUACUGCGCAUGUAUUUUUGUGCGAGUCACGCCCAUUUUCCACAGGUGAGAAUGAGUGCGCCCUCUCGUUACCACGCUCCAGUGACCACGCUCCACGAAACUUUCAGCCAAUUAGGGAUAAGGGAAGGGCAGAACAAUCCAAUCACAAUUAAGACGGCGGGGUUUAGGACAAUUUAUUGAAAGCAUCCUUAAUUGUAAGUGAGAUAUAAAGUAUGUGUUGAGUUAAAUAAAGGAGGAGAACUAAUUAAGAGCUGAAACCAUACAGACGUGUGCCUCUCUCUUGCUGUGUGUCGUAGGUUAUUCAAAUACAUGCAGUGUAAGUGAUAGUUUCUAGUCGCACUAUCAAGCAGGGAGAUUGGAAUCGGCACUGUCGCCACGCUACCUAAUAACAGACCGGUGCCGAUUCCAACUUGAUAAGACUACAAAUACCCGCUAAUGAGAAACCGCUCGGAUAACAGCAAAGGUCCAUUACAAUACGUUCAGCAUUUCGGUAUGAUUGACUUUAUAGCAUAUCCUGGCCAAUUUGAACACGCGGCCGAUUUCAAUUCAUUUUAAAGCACAUCAGUACAGAACAUCAAAAAUUGUUGUUUAGUUUCGUUAUUUGAGUAGUCUAUCGAUGGAUCAAAUAAGAUCAUUCAAAUAGUCGUUCGAUCGUUCAAAUUCGUCGAAAUCCUCAUGCAUUACAUAGAGGUUGAUCGAAAGUGUAGAAUAAUCCAUUGGCAAACAUUUUUUUCGUAUGGAUUACCUGUAUUCAAAUUCGUGGACGUACGUGCCCAUAUAAAUAAAAACAUAUUUGUUUACGAAAAGACACACAAACGGAAAAAGACACGGCAAAAAUCUAACACGGGGACAAAACAAGAUUAUUCAUAAUUUUCCCCGUCAAAUUGGCCAGCCGGGAAAACCCAUCGCUCGGAACAUUUUAAUAACUGUGCCCUGGGGUGUGUAGAACAUUGUCGGUUUUUAAAGUGUGACUAAUGUACAAACGGCGGAUAAUUUUGAACUCGUCUAUCAAACUGCCUUUGAGCCAGGGACUGCAACCUGUAUUUGAUAUUUUAAUAACAACCAUAAGUGUUCACGUUUCUGUUAGUGUUUUUAUCGUUGUUAGGAAUCAAUCAGCAAAGGAGAAUAUCAGUUGGUAUUUGCAUCUCCAGAAGCAGUACUGCGACAGCCAUGCAUGGUGGUUGGCAAUCAAGAGAUGGCGUGAUCGAAUCACUGCUUUAGUCAUAGACGAAGCCCACUGCAUGACCAAAUGGUAAAAUCGGGGGUGUCAGGUCUUCUAUUGAAGCAUCAAUGAUGAUACUGUCGAUUGCACUGUGAAAUUUACGUGGUUUUAUUUCAUCCUUUUGCGUUCCUGCAACUUCCCAUUUUUUUGUUAAUUGACACAAGUUUACCUUUUUAUUUCGCACAAAUUUUUACUGCACUGCAACACUCAACUUGAAACUUCUCAAGUGCCCAUGCAUCAUGCCGAUACACCACUUUCAGAGUCCUCACCAUAGGGCCCAAUCACAACUUCAGCUUGAUUGAUGGCGAUCUUGUUUCCCCUUUUUGUCUAUCGAAAUGAGCUUUCCUCAUCUUAAAUUUGAAACUGUCCUUAUUUCUUUCCGCAGGGGUUCAUUUCGUGAGGAGUACCUCAAUAUUUAUCGGCUUCGGUCAAUUCUCUCCAGCCAGCCUGUCGUCUGCCUUACGGCAACGGCAACACAGACGAUAAUGGAGGAGAUCAUCCAUUAUGUUGCAGCUUGAGGUGUCUACAUUUGACAUCAUAGCAGUGCUUCCGGACAGGCAAGAUUGCAAUGAGAGUUUCCUGGAUGCAUAAAAAAGAGUUUAACUCAUUUUUAUUUCUAGUCCUUGACGAAAGAAAAAAAAACUUUAACCGGCAGGCAUUUAAAGCACAAAGCGUAUCAUUAUUACAACAUUGCCUUAAAUUAACUUUUAUUUCAUUCAUUAAUGUGCUUUCAGACCCAAUAUAAAGUUGGAGAUGUUCAACGUGGAUAAUGCCAAUGUUGAAUAACAUUUGGCCUGGUAUUGUGCUCUGCUAAAGAGGGGAAAGGACGCACCAAAGGCGAUAAUUUACGCAAGACAAGUGAACGAAGUCUCCCGCAUUUAUGCGUGGCUGAUGACGAGUCUGGGGGAGAUGGCUUGGGUGGACCCUGUACACAGUGUCCAUAAUAGAAUAAUUGACAUGUACCAUGGUAGCACUGACGACGAAGGCCAAAGGUGUGUUACAUCAUCAUUUUGCCAAAAGACAUCUCCACUCCGAUGCGUUGUGGCUACCAUGGCUUUUGGUUUGGGCAUCCAAGCAGAUGAUGUGGAGUUUGUGAUCCAUUGGGGACCGGCAAAAGAUGUUCUCAGUUAUUGACAAGAAGUUGGCAGGUGCGCGAGAGAUGGGAGGCAAGGGUUUGGAAAGCUGUACAUAUUCCCGCGGUCCAUUAACAAGCGGUAUACUGACAGUACCAUGAUACAGCUAUGCAGCACAGUCAAAGGAGGCAACUGCAUGAGACAAGCGGUGCUCGAGCAUCUGAAGAUAACCGGCAUGAAUGAGCGUGUCAAGGUGAUCGGCUCCCACUGUUGCACUGUUUGCACGGAAGAGUAGAGAGAAACCGAGGAGAUGGUUUAUGCUAACUUACUGCACA